UACGGGGGGGGCAAGCGUUGUUCGGAAUCACUGGGCUUAAAGAGUCCGUAGGCGGCUUGUUAGGUGAGGUGUGAAAUCCCUCGGCCCAACCGAGGAAUUGCGCUUCAAACCGGCAAGCUAGAGGAGGAUAGAGGUGGGCGGAACUGAUGGUGGAGCGGUGAAAUGCGUUGAUAUCAUCAGGAACACCGGAGGCGAAGGCGGUCCACUGGGUCCUAUCUGACGCUGAGGGACGAAAGCUAGGGGAGCGAACGGG
rnacentral:rRNA from 1 species